GUUCAGCCAAAGAAGGGUGGAGAGAUAUGGGACUAUGACUACUGUGGAUGUUUUUUGAGAAUGAGAAAGACAUGGAUGGAUAUCUGGCAAGGAGCCAGUAGAUUGAAGCUGUGAAAAGAAUAUGAAGCAAGAAACAGACUCUACAAGAAAGCACAGAAACUGCUUCCAACUCUUCCUGCUUCUGGGGGGGGGGGG